GAUGAACGCUGGCGGCAUGCCUAUAAAUUCAAGUUGGAGCAAACAAACGGGAAGCUUGCUCCUCUGACGUAAGCGCCGAACGGGUGAGUAAAACUUGGUAAACCAACUUUUAAAACGGGGAAAACUUCGGGAAACCGGAGCAAUAACCGGAUAAUAAAUUAAACGGAAGGGUUAAUUAGUAAAAGCCGGUUUUGCUGCCACUUAUAGAUGGAUCCGCGCCGAAUUAGCUAGUUGGUAAGGUAACGGCUUACCAAGGCAACGAUGCGUAGCCGACCUGAGAGGGUGAUCGGCCACACUGGAACUGAGACACGGUCCAGACUCCUACGGGAGGCAGCAGUAGGGAAUCUUCCGCAAUGGGCGAAAGCCUGACGGAGCAACGCCGCGUGAGUGAUGAAGGUCUUCGGAUCGUAAAACUCUGUUAUUAGGGAAGAACAAAUGUGUAAGUAACUAUGCACGUCUUGACGGUACCUAAUCAGAAAGCCACGGCUAACUACGUG
rnacentral:rRNA from 1 species